CUGAGGAGACGGUGACCAGGGUGCCCUGGCCCCAGUAGUCAAAGCCACAGUAAUAGACGGCCGUGUCCUCCACUCUCAGGCUGUUCAUCUGCAGGUA